GUGUUCCAGGUAAAUCCGGUUCACUUUAACACUGAGGCGUGAUGACGAGGCACUACGGUGUUGAAGCAACAAAUGCCCUGCUUCCAGGAAAAGCCUCUAAGCAUCAGGUAACAUCAAAUCGUACCCCAAACCGACACAGGUGGUCAGGUAGAGAAUACCAAGGCGCUUGAGAGAACUCGGGUGAAGGAACUAGGCAAAAUGGUGCCGUAACUUCGGGAGAAGGCACGCUGACACGUAGGUGAAGUGAUUUACUCAUGGAGCUGAAGUCAGUCGAAGAUACCAGCUGGCUGCAACUGUUUAUUAAAAACACAGCACUGUGCAAACACGAAAGUGGACGUAUACGGUGUGACGCCUGCCCGGUGCCGGAAGGUUAAUUGAUGGGGUCAGCGCAAGCGAAGCUCCUGAUCGAAGCCCCGGUAAACGGCGGCCGUAACUAUAACGGUCCUAAGGUAGCGAAAUUCCUUGUCGGGUAAGUUCCGACCUGCACGAAUGGCGUAAUGAUGGCCAGGCUGUCUCCACCCGAGACUCAGUGAAAUUGAACUCGCUGUGAAGAUGCAGUGUACCCGCGGCAAGACGGAAAGACCCCGUGAACCUUUACUAUAGCUUGACACUGAACAUUGAGCCUUGAUGUGUAGGAUAGGUGGGAGGCUUUGAAGCGUGGACGCCAGUCUGCGUGGAGCCGACCUUGAAAUACCACCCUUUAAUGUUUGAUGUUCUAACGUGGACCCGUGAUCCGGGUUGCGGACAGUGUCUGGUGGGUAGUUUGACUGGGGCGGUCUCCUCCUAAAGAGUAACGGAGGAGCACGAAGGUUGGCUAAUCCUGGUCGGACAUCAGGAGGUUAGUGCAAUGGCAUAAGCCAGCUUGACUGCGAGCGUGACGGCGCGAGCAGGUGCGAAAGCAGGUCAUAGUGAUCCGGUGGUUCUGAAUGGAAGGGCCAUCGCUCAACGGAUAAAAGGUACUCCGGGGAUAACAGGCUGAUACCGCCCAAGAGUUCAUAUCGACGGCGGUGUUUGGCACCUCGAUGUCGGCUCAUCACAUCCUGGGGCUGAAGUAGGUCCCAAGGGUAUGGCUGUUCGCCAUUUAAAGUGGUACGCGAGCUGGGUUUAGAACGUCGUGAGACAGUUCGGUCCCUAUCUGCCGUGGGCGCUGGAGAACUGAGGGGGGCUGCUCCUAGUACGAGAGGACCGGAGUGGACGCAUCACUGGUGUUCGGGUUGUCAUGCCAAUGGCACUGCCCGGUAGCUAAAUGCGGAAGAGAUAAGUGCUGAAAGCAUCUAAGCACGAAACUUGCCCCGAG
rnacentral:rRNA from 1 species